CUCGAUGGCAACUGCGCGUGAGGGCGCCUUAAGGCGCGCCGGGGUUUCUCUGUGGACCGGUCCGUCAACCCGCGUGCAGUUGCCACCCUC
rnacentral:antisense_RNA from 1 species